GGUCAAGUUAUUAAGGGUGCAGGGCGGAUGCCUUGGCACUAGGAGCCGAUGAAGGACGUGAUAAGCUGCGAUAAGCUUCGGGGAGUUGCACGUAAACUUUGAUCCGAAGAUUUCCGAAUGAGGAAACUCACUUAGAGUAAUGUCUAAGUAUCAUUAAGUGAAUACAUAGCUUAAUGAGGGGAACUCAGGGAACUGAAACAUCUAAGUACCUGAAGGAAGAGAAAGAAAUUCGAUUCCGUAAGUAGCGGCGAGCGAACGCGGAUUAGCCCAAACCAAUAAAGUUUUCUUUAUUGGGGUUGCGGACAUAUCAUAACGAAGAGGUAUCGUAAUUGAAGAGGUUUGGAAAGACCCACCACAGAAGGUAAUAGUCCUGUAUGUUAAACGAGAAGACUUCAGAUAUGAUCCAGAGUACCACGGGACACGUGAAACCCUGUGGGAAGCAGGAGGGACCACCCUCCAAGGCUAAAUACUACCUAGUGACCGAUAGCGUAUAGUACCGUGAGGGAAAGGUGAAAAGAACCCCGGGAGGGGAGUGAAAUAGAACCUGAAACCCUGCACUUACAAGCUGUGGAAGCACAUUUCUUGUGUGACCGCGUACUUUUUGUAGAACGGGCCAACGAGUUACGUUAAGUAGCAAGGUUAAGCACUUAAGGUGCGGAGCCGUAGCGAAAGCGAGUUUUAACUGAGCGUUCAGUUAUUUGACGUAGACCCGAAACCGGGCGACCUACCCAUGAGCAGGAUGAAGCGAAAGUAAAAUUUCGUGGAGGUCCGAACCCACGAGCGUUGAAAAGCUCGGGGAUGACUUGUGGGUAGCGGUGAAAUUCCAAUCGAGCCCGGAGAUAGCUGGUUCUCCCCGAAAUAGCUUUAGGGCUAGCCUCAAGGUGAGAGAUACGGAGGUAGAGCACUGAAUGUCCUAGGGGGUAUUGCACCUACCGAAGACUAUCAAACUCCGAAUGCCGUCAUCUUAUACUUGGGAGUCAGACUGUGGGUGAUAAGAUUCAUAGUCGAAAGGGCAACAGCCCAGAUCGUCAGCUAAGGUCCCUAAAUGUAAGUUAAGUGGUAAAGGAUGUGGGAUUGCACAGACAACCAGGAUGUUGGCUUAGAAGCAGCCACUCAUUCAAAGAGUGCGUAAUAGCUCACUGGUCGAGUGAUCCUGCGCCGAAGAUUUCCGGGGCUAAAACUUACUACCGAAGCUACGGCAUCAGUAAUGAUGGGUAGGGGAGCUUCCCAUACGGGUUGAAGCAUGACCGUAAGGACAUGUGGACAGUAUGGGAGUGAGAAUGUUGGCAUGAGUAGCGAGAUGUGGGUGAGAAUCCCACAGGCCGUAAACCCAAGGUUUCCAGGGGAAGGUUCGUCCGCCCUGGGUUAGUCGGGACCUAAGCUGAGGCCGAAAGGCGUAGGUGAUGGACAACAGGUUGAUAUUCCUGUAC
rnacentral:rRNA from 1 species